rnacentral:rRNA from 1 species
AAUGAACGUUGGCGGCGUGGAUUAGGCAUGCAAGUCGUGCGGAAAGGCUCCUUCGGGAGUACUCAAGCGGCGUAAGGGAGAGUAACGCGUGGAUAUCUACCCCCUGGACUGGGAUAGCGGCGGGAAACUGCCGGUAAUACCAGAUAAUGUCUGCGGACCAAAGGUGUGAUUCCGCCGGGGGAUGAGUUCGCGUCCUAUUAGCUAGUUGGUAGGGUAAUGGCCUACCAAGGCAAAGAUGGGUACCGGGUGUGAGAGCAUGGCCCGGCUCACUGGGACUGAGACACUGCCCAGACACCUGCGGGUGGCUGCAGUCGGGAAGCUUCGGCAAUGGGCGCAAGCCUGACCGAGCGACGCCGCGUGCGGGAUGAAGGCCUUCGGGUUGUAAACCGCUGUCAGAGGGGAGGAAAUGCGUGAGAGUUCUCUCUCACGUUUGACCUAUCCUCAGAGGAAGUACGGGCUAAGUUCGUGCCAGCCGCCGCAGUAACAC